CGACAUUUUUCGACUUCGAGACGCUCUACGAGAAUAUUUACUUUAGUGAUUGCUGGAUAUUUUCUUUCCUAACAUUUUCUGCUUUUCUUCUACAAGGUUAUUUAGAAAUGAAAUUUUGUGUUUGGUGAAUUUACAGGUAACGUGUACUGGAAUUUAUACUUGGCAAUUCCGUUUGAUCAUGUGGCCUGCCGUUAAAUUUCCCAAAAUGUCGUCUCUUGCUCUUGCUGUAUCUUGCACGUUUCGUCACUAGAUGAGAUGUUUCCACGCCAUUCGACCAAGCUGAACCGAUAGUGAACCAUUUAAAACGAGUGGCUUUGUUGCAGCGAGCUGAUGAAAGGGAGUUCAAGUCAAGUUGAGCUGCAGCUUCUGGAAGCAGUCUACAUCGCUGAUGUCAUCCUGAAGUGGAGAAGUGUUACCUGAAGUGUUAACUACAAAAAAUACAUCUUGAAAUGGGUAACUCUUUCGCGCCUGAUGACAUUAAGUCAUCAACUGUUGUAAACUGACGAGAGAAUGCUGCAAUUCAAGACUGAUGUAUUGUGUUGGCCAAAAAAAAUUGGCCGUUCCUUGGUGCUGAUUUUGACCGAGGUUGCAUCAUAUUUUGUUAAAUUAUUGUUAUCGUUACUAUUGCAGUUUACCGUUUAAAAGUUCAGAAGCAACAACACAAAAUGGGAUGUUGAUGUCAAACAAAUAAUAAACAUUGUUUUGGGGUUGGGAAAGUAAACUGGUGGAUGUUGGAGGGGGAUAUUUCAAGUUUGGAUAAAAAUUCAGUUAAUUUAUAACCCUACUAAUGUAUCCCUACCAAUUAAUCUCCAAACCCCAAAAAUAUAUACCUUCCAAUCCUUCAAACCCUGUAAAUAUACCCCUACCAACCCUUAAAUCUAUUCCCUUAACACUAUAAACCAAUGUUAAUCUUAACCAUGUAAUGUCUGUAAUUAAUUAAAAAAUACACUGGAUAAACCAA
rnacentral:lncRNA from 1 species